UACGAAGGGGGCGAGCGUUGUUCGGAUUUACUGGGCGUAAAGGGCGCGCAGGCGGCCCUCUUAGUCGCGUGUGAAAGCCCCGGGCUCAACCUGGGAACGGCGCGCGAAACGGGAGGGCUGGAGUUCGGGAGAGGAGAGUGGAAUUCCCAGUGGUAGAGGUGAAAUUCGUAGAUAUUGGGAAGAACACCGGUGGCGAAGGCGGCUCUCUGGACCGAGACUGACG
rnacentral:rRNA from 1 species